UACAGAGGGGGCAAGCGUUGUUCGGAAUUACUGGGCGUAAAGGGCGCGUAGGCGGCCUGCUAAGUCGAACGUGAAAUCCCUGGGCUCAACCCAGGAACUGCGUCCGAUACUGGUUGGCUUGAAUCCGGGAGAGGGAUGCGGAAUUCCAGGUGUAGCGGUGAAAUGCGUAGAUAUCUGGAGGAACACCGGUGGCGAAGGCGGCAUCCUGGACCGGCAUUGACGCUAAAGCGCGAAAGCCAGGGGAGCAAACGGG
rnacentral:rRNA from 1 species